rfam:Thalassiosira oceanica strain CCMP1005 To_g37118, whole genome shotgun sequence.
GACAUUGUGUCCGAGUGGUUAAGGAGGUGGACUUGAAAUCCACUGGGCUCUGCCCGCGCAGGUUCAAAUCCUGUCAAUGUCG